CAUGAAGCCGGAAUUGCUAGUAAUGGCAGGUCAGCAUACUGCCGUGAAUACGUUCCCGGGCCUUGUACACACCGCCCGUCACACCAUGAGAGUUGGAAAUACCCGAAGCCUGUGAGCUAACCUUAUAGGAGGCAGCAGUCGAAGGUAGAGUCAAUGAUUGGGGUGAAGUCGUAACAAGGUAAC
rnacentral:rRNA from 1 species